rnacentral:rRNA from 1 species
UACGGGGGGGGUAAGCGUUGUUCGGAAUUACUGGGCGUAAAGGGCUCGUAGGCGGCCAACUAAGUCAUACGUGAAAUCCCUCAGCUUAACUGGGGAACUGCGUGUGAUACUGGAUGGCUUGGAUUUGGGAGAGGGAUGCGGAAUUCCAGGUGUAGCGGUGAAAUGCGUAGAUAUCUGGAGGAACACCGGUGGCGAAGGCGGCGAUCCUGG